GACGAACGCUGGCGGCGUGCUUAACACAUGCAAGUCGAACGUAGUGGCGAACGGGUGAGUAACACGUGAGCAACCUACCUUACACAGGGGGAUAGCCGUUGGAAACGACGAUUAAUACCGCAUGGUGUACGAAGGUCUCGCGUCUGAUUAGCUAGUUGGACGGGUAAAGGCCUACCAAGGCGACGAUCAGUAGCCGGUCUGAGAGGAUGAACGUCCACAUUGGAACUGAGACACGGGCCAAACUCCUACGGGGGGCAGCAGUGGGGAUUAUUGCACAAUGGGGGGAACCCUGAUGCAGCGACGCCGCGUGGGCGAAGAAGGUUUUCGGGUUGUAAACUCCUUACACACGAAGGGCGGUAGAUGGAGAAGAAGCACCGGCUAACUACGUGCCAGCAGCCGCGGUAAUUC
rnacentral:rRNA from 1 species